ACUCAGCUAUAAAAUGUGUAGUAUACAUUCAAACAAAUCUAAUGAUAAGUGGUAAACUACCAAAGUUUCAAUUAAAAUUUUAAUUGAUGAAAAUUUCCUGUAUUAUUCAGAUGGUGACAACUGAAAUACUAAACUGAUGGUUUACAUUUGGUUGUCUGUGAACCAAGCCGUUUAAUCAUGUUUACCAAUCAUCAAAUAAAUGUGAGAGAAAUGACCAGUAAAUGGAGUGAAGAUUACAUUGAGUACUGUUUGAAACAACAUCUACAUUUCUAUUCAAACCAAGUUACAGAUUCUACUACCAAGUUUGAAGUCCAAAAUAUUGAAUAUAUAGUUCAGUCUCCGUAUAGUGAACUAAUUGAGCAACGAUUUUGUCACCCCACCGAGGUCGUUCACUGUUUAGAAACCGGGAAAAAAUACACAACACUGGUAUAUAAAUUUGGCGCUCUCGUGGAUUAAACACCUAGUUAUAAUAUCUGCUGGAGUAAAUGAUAGGUGUACGAAUACGUGUGAUACACAACAGAAAUGCAUUUGAGUUUUGAUAGGUUUAUUAAUCACUGUGGAUUGAAAGGGAAGCCGAUUCAGAUGGAGGAGUACGGACGAGAGUUGACUGGGCAGUGAUUGAGGCGAAAUGACAAACUGAGAGAGCGAGUCAGGGCGCUCAGGCUAUUAACACACAUCUGGUGGGCCUUCCUGGAACACGCACUUCCUAACGUGUGCCUCCAAAGAAAGUAUUUCCACAUCUGGUAUUAACAUAAUGAUAUGUGGUGGGACAUCGAAAUAUUCUUUCAAUUGCCUCCAUCUAUGAUUAAAUUUUAGUUAACUGAAGAAUCUUUCUAUAACAAUGCACCAUAAAAUACGUCUGAAGAAUGUUCAGUGGGAAAAAAAUUAAAAUUGAAUAGUAAUGAAUUUAUUGCAAAUAAAUUUGAUUACUUGUCAUUUUUGAAUAAUGACUUGAUUAGUUGUAUAUAUGUAAUUUAGUGUUGUAA